AGCUCAGGUGAGCUCGCGCCAGGCGCAUUUCAAACGGGCCAAUCAGCGACAGCCCUCGAGGAGAGGCCGGAACUCCGCGGAAGGGACGAUCUGCCGGAAGUGACUGUGCUGCCGGAAGUGACGCUUGUCUCCUAGGCGACCGACGCUGAAAGGACCAGCGGAGGCGUGCGUCAGGGCUGGAGGGAGAUCUCAGGAGUCCGAUACAGAGCAGCUGAGAAAUAAAUUACGUUGCUGAGGCUGAAGAUGAUGCACAGAAGUAUGGCUCCAGCUAUCUGAGAGAAAGAGAAGGGCUUGGAGGUGGCCAGGAGCCAUUCCUUCCUCAGAGUCUUGUCCAGAAGUAUGGCUUCCAUCUGCAGGUGCGUGGCCAGGAUCACACACACAUGAAACAGCUGGUGACUGUGACCUAUGGCAAACACAAAAGGCCGUCAAUAACAGCAAUUAAAAGGAAUGAGUACUGAUACAUGCCAUGGCAUGUAUGCAAAAAUGAUGCUAAGUGAAAGAAACCAGAUAGGAGCCCACAUAUUAUAUGAUUCCUUUUAUAUGAAAUGUCCAGAAUAUGCAAAUCUGUAAAGACAGAGGGUAGACUGAUGGCUGCCUCAAGUAGGGGUGAGAAUAGGGAUUAACAGUGCAUGGGUCUGAUGGAGGGGACGAAAAUGUUCUAAAACUGAUGUAUGGUGACUUUACUGAAAAUAUCAUUAAAUUGUAUACUUGACA